rnacentral:rRNA from 1 species
UGUAAGCGUAUACCAAAGUUGUUGCAGUUAAAACGCUCGUAGUCGGAAUUUGGCAGUUCCGGAAGUGUGCACGUCGUGUGCGCACUUUGCGGGGACUGCUUUUGUGGUCUUGCGUAGGAUGAGGCACUUUCAUUAGUGAACGUCCUCACGCAACCACUCUUUACUGUGAGAAAAUCAGAGUGCUCAAAGCAGGCAUUUGCCGUGAAUGUAUUAGCAUGGAAUAAUAGAAUAGGACUCGGUUCUAUUUUGUUGGUUUGUUGGGACUGAGUAAUGAUUAAGAGGGACAGUUGGGGGCAUUUGUAUUCCGGCGCUAGGGGUGAAAUUCUUAGAUUGCCGGAAGACAAACUGCUGCGAAAGCGUCUGCCAAGGAUGUUUUCAUUGA